UAGGGAAUUUUUCACAAUGAGCGAAAGCUUGAUGGAGCAAUGCCGCGUGAACGAUGAAGGUCUUUAAGAUUGUAAAGUUCUUUUAUUUGGGAAGAAUGACUUUAGCAGGUAAUGGCUAGAGUUUGACUGUACCAUUUUGAAUAAGUGACGACUAACUAUGUGCCAGCAGUCGCGGUAAUACAUAGGUCGCAAGCGUUAUCCGGAUUUAUUGGGCGUAAAGCAAGCGCAGGCGGAUUGAAAAGUCUGGUGUUAAAGGCAGCUGCUUAACAGUUGUAUGCAUUGGAAACUAUUAAUCUAGAGUGUGGUAGGGAGUUUUGGAAUUUCAUGUGGAGCGGUGAAAUGCGUAGAUAUAUGAAGGAACACCAGUGGCGAAGGCGAAAACUUAGGCCAUUACUGACGCUUAGGCUUGAAAGUGUGGGGAGCAAAUAGGAUUAGAUACCCUAGUAGUCCACACCGUAAACGAUAGAUACUAGCUGUCGGGGCGAUCCCCUCGGUAGUGAAGUUAACACAUUAAGUAUCUCGCCUGGGUAGUACAUUCGCAAGA
rnacentral:rRNA from 1 species